rnacentral:rRNA from 1 species
AUUGAACGCUGGCGGCAGGCCUAACCCAUGCAAGUCGAACGAGUGGCGGACGGGUGAGUAAUGUCUGGGAAACUGCCUGAUGGAGGGGGAUAACUACUGGAAACGGUAGCUAAUACCGCAUACAAUCAGAUGUGCCCAGAUGGGAUUAGCUUGUUGGUGGGGUAACGGCUCACCAAGGCGCCGAUCCCUAUCUGGUCUGAGAGGAUGACCAUCCACACGGGAACUGAGACACGGUCCAGACUCUUACGGGUGGCAGAAGUGGGGAAUAUUGCACAAUGGGCGCAAGUCUGAUGCAGCCAUGCCGCGUGUAUGAAGAAGGCCUUCGGGUUGUAAAGUACUUUCAGCGGGGAGGCGUUACCCGCAGAAGAAGCACCGGCUAAAUCCGUGCCAGCCGCCGCGGUAAUUC